UACGUAGGGGGCAAGCGUUGUCCGGAUUUAUUGGGCGUAAAGAGCGUGUAGGCGGCCUGAAAGGUCAGCUGUGAAAACUCGAGGCUCAACCUCGAGACGUCGGUUGAAACCAUCUGGCUAGAGUCCGGAAGAGGAGUGUGGAAUUCCCGGUGUAGCGGUGAAAUGCGCAGAUAUCAGGAAGAACACCCGUGGCUAAGGCGGCUCUCUAGUACGGUACUGACGCUGAGACGCGAAAGCGUGGGGAGCGAACAGA
rnacentral:rRNA from 1 species